UCUUCUUAUUUAAGCAUCGAAACCCUGUUUUUUAAACUGUUAUGGCAUACAAAUCGCCUCGGAGUAACAGAUGUCUGCUGGAUAGAGUUGUUUCCCAGGAAAAUAACCGGCUGCUCUAUGGUCUCCAGAGGAAGGGUGGCCGUGCAAAAUGCGUGUCAUGUGGUCCAUUUGUCACCCCCUCCCCCUCCAAAGACCGAGGGGACAAUGAUGUGCCGCGGCCAUCUUCUAGCUGUCUGCAUUUACAGAUGGAGACAGAAGACAGAGGCAAGAAUCUGGCAUUGCCUGUCCCUCCCUCCUGGAGAACAGGCAUUUCUUCAAUUUCCUAGCAUCACCCUGUCAUCAUCAUGAUCAUCACCAGCAUCAUUAUCACCACCAACCUCCUCCUACUCCACCACCACCACCACCUCAUCAUCAUCACCACCAGCAUUAUUGCCGAUGUCAUGAUCCCUUUAAUACGGAGAAUUCUGGUGAUGUGAGGAUUCUGGUUCAUCCACGCUGUGAUGUUCCACUGCCUAAAGCCUGACCCCGAGCUCUAUCACUUUCUAGCUAGCCGUGUGGCCUCAGACCUACUGCAAGCCCAGAGACCAACACACAGGGGUCUGUAGGCCACUGACUGGACGGGAAAGAAGCCAGAAUGGAGAAGCUGCUGAAGGAACCACAAGUGUCCGUGUUUCCUUUUUCUGACCUGGAGGCUGGUGCUCCUCCCAUCAUUCCCUGCUUCAGUGCUGGGGACACCGGGCUUCCUCUUCUAGCAUGUGGUUUGGUGUCACCAUCCCUAGGGAAACUCUCGGUGACUUUGGAACUCAGGCUGAAUGUCAGUCUGGUUCGUUUCCAUGCUUUUAUUUGCUCGUUGCUGUUUUCAAAGCCCCUUGGAUUGUUUGUGAGUCUGAGUGAUGGCACAUCUGCCACAGUGUAGUGUGGGUGGCAGCAUCCUGCUCUCUAGUCUGUGUACAAAGAAAUGCUGCUGCUAACUACACCUGUCCAGUCUGUCUGCCUCAGCAUGGUCGCUGCUGAUGGCGUUCCAAGCGCAGACGUGAGGGAGGAGGGUGAGGCAGCCAAGGCUUUAUUCUCUCUGUGGUGUGAGCACCGAGCUGAGGAAGGGUGCUGUUGUGAAGUUCUGCUCUCAACUUUGGUUCUGUUGGAGGAAGGGAAGACCCGAGGACGGGUGUGCCAUGGAAGCAAGCGGUGGGGCAGAAGACAGAGGGAGUCGCAACCA